CGCCCUUGCCCAGAGUCUUCCCGGGAUUGGCUGCGGGCCUCGCGACCCUCCUGCUUCCCUCCCCGCCCCGCGCCGCCUCUCUGGUUUGUGCGCCCGUCGCAGGUCGCAGGCCUCUUUGUCAGCUGGAGUUGCGCGGGGCUGACGCGCCACUAUGUAGCGGGUUUCGGGCGGGCCACGCGUGCGGGACAGGAACCCAACCCCAGCCGACCUUGAGCUCCAGGAGUUCGUCUCUUACGUCUGCGGAAGUGCAGCUGCCUCAGUUCUUAGCGCAGGGUUGACAACUACAGGCACAAGCCAUUGAAGCUGGAAUGUCCUGUUGCUGGUAUUUCAAUUGACUUAAGCCAACUAUCCCUUCAGUUACAAUAGGAAAGUGCCUCUAAUAAGGCCAAAUAUGCGUACUAACUUGUAGCAACCACGUGUCCGUGCAGUGCCACAGGAGCUAGAGCAGUGACAAUGCUGGUGGCAACAGGGCAGUGUAGCAGGUGCUUCAUGUUCACCUUUUCAACCUUUUCAUUUAAUUGUCACAACUCGGAGGUGGAUUCUGUUAGGGACAGGCUGCCCCAGGACCACUCCGCCCCCGCUAACUCAAUGCAGCUGACCCUUACCCUGAAUACUCUGCAGCUGCAUUCCUGAACCGUUAUCUAGGCGCUAUAGCAAGGUCACCAGACUUGCUACACCGAAGCCCUCUGGGUGGCACGGGGGAGGUCAUGAGAAACGUGGAUUACACCCCCUUGUAAAUUCCUAUUUUCACAAGAUAAUAUAUUGUAAGCCGGUCAUGAGAUUAUAUGUGGUAAAGUUAAUUGACUAACAACCCCAGGGUCUCUCUCCCCCAUAUAAACCCCUCAUUUUGUAAGCUCAGGGCUGCCACCUCCGACUGGUGGAGAAGCCUGGCAGGUUAAUAAACUUACUUGGCCUGAC
rnacentral:lncRNA from 1 species